rnacentral:lncRNA from 1 species
AUGUCCAUAGACCUGUACUGGGUUAGGACCGUAACCACCAGAGGACUUGAAAAUGAGCCGGAGCUGAGAGGAUCACCAAAACUAAAAAUCAUACAACCAACCAUCCGUGGAGAUCAGUGGACAAAGGGCUGGACAAUGGGCCGCACCGAAAAAACGCAUGGUUCCCAUAAAAAGCUGCCACUAAUCGAUGGUGGCUCAGGGCGGUACCAUUCUGCUCAUCUGAUGAAGGUGCACAUGGAUCAGAUUCAAACUUUGAAGACCGAGAUCGAGUCAUUGAAGGCAGACCAGCAGAAAGAUAAACAUUAUCUGAGGGCAGAGAUACGAGGGACAGCUGAUGCAUUGGUCCAGAGCCAGGCAGUAUUGGCAGAGUGUCACUCGUCAUUGACAGAGAGUCAGGCGGCAUUGGCGGAGAGUCAGGCGGAGAAUGACGCGUUGAAGAGGGCGAGGAAGGAGAUGGAGUCACAAUCCAUACCAGGCACACCUGUGAGCUCUGGAACUCCACCUCCUACAGGCACAGUCAACAUAUGUGGCAACAUAUGUGACAUUUCCAUUUUCCUUCUGACAACAGAACUGGACCAACUGCUCACCAGGCACAGCGAGGGCUGUCCGGAUCGUUACGCUGUUCUGCUAUUCCAAAGAUGUUUAACCGAAGAGAGAUACCACGAGUGGACACAGAAUACGAACUGCAAAUGUGGCUCUGGGUGUUCGUCAUUAAAACUGUCUCCAGAAGUUUCUGUCCGUGACUGA